rnacentral:rRNA from 1 species
UACGUAGGGGGCAAGCGUUGUCCGGAUUUAUUGGGCGUAAAGAGCGUGUAGGCGGCUGGGUAGGUCCGUUGUGAAAACUCGAGGCUCAACCUCGAGACGCCGAUGGAAACCAUGUGGCUAGAGUCCGGAAGAGGAGAGUGGAAUUCCUGGUGUAGCGGUGAAAUGCGCAGAUAUCAGGAAGAACACCCGUGGCUAAGGCGGCUCUCUAGUACGGUACUGACGCUGAGACGCGAAAGCGUGGGGAGCGAACAGG